rnacentral:rRNA from 1 species
AGCGAACGCUGGCGGCAGGCCUAACACAUGCAAGUCGAACGAACUCUUCGGAGUUAGUGGCGGACGGGUGAGUAACACGUGGGAACGUGCCUUUUGGUUCGGAAUAACUCAGGGAAACUUGUGCUAAUACCGAAUGUGCCCUUCGGGGGAAAGAUUUAUCGCCAUUAGAGCGGCCCGCGUCUGAUUAGCUAGUUGGUGAGGUAACGGCUCACCAAGGCGACGAUCAGUAGCUGGUCUGAGAGGAUGACCAGCCACACUGGGACUGAGACACGGCCCAGACUCCUACGGGAGGCAGCAGUGGGGAAUCUUGCGCAAUGGGCGAAAGCCUGACGCAGCCAUGCCGCGUGAAUGAUGAAGGUGUUAGGAUUGUAAAAUUCUUUCACCGGGGACGAUAAUGACGGUACCCGGAGAAGAAGCCCCGGCUAACUUCGUG